UACGUAGGGGGCAAGCGUUGUCCGGAUUUAUUGGGCGUAAAGAGCGUGUAGGCGGCCAGGUAGGUCUGCUGUGAAAACUCGAGGCUCAACCUCGAGAUGUCGGCGGAAACCAUCUGGCUAGAGUCCGGAAGAGGAGAAUGGAAUUCCCGGUGUAGCGGUGAAAUGCGCAGAUAUCGGGAAGAACACCCGUGGCGAAGGCAGCUCUCUGGGACGGUACUGACACUGAGACGCGAAAGCGUGGGGAGCGAACAGG
rnacentral:rRNA from 1 species